ACGAACGCUGGCGGCGUGCUUCACACCUGCAAGUCGCACGAUGAAGCCCAGCUUGCUGGGUGGAAGAGUGGCGAACGGGUGAGUAACACGUGAGUAACCUGCCCUGAACUCUGGGAUAAGCACUGGAAACGGUGUCUAAUACUGGAUACGACCUAUCACCGCAUGGUGUGUGGGUGGAAAGAUUUAUCGGUUCUGGAUGGACUCGCGGCCUAUCAGCUAGAUGGUGAGGUAAUGGCUCACCAUGGCGACGACGGGUAGCCGGCCUGAGAGGGUGACCGGCCACACUGGGACUGAGACACGGCCCAGACUCCUACGGGAGGCAGCAGUGGGGAAUAUUGCACAAUGGGCGCAAGCCUGAUGCAGCAACGCCGCGUGAGGGAUGACGGCCUUCGGGUUGUAAACCUCUUUUAGUAGGGAAGAAGCGAAAGUGACGGUACCUGCAGAAAAAGCACCGGCUAACUACGUG
rnacentral:rRNA from 1 species